rnacentral:rRNA from 1 species
UCGGGUGUGAAUUAGCGGCGAACGGGUGAGGAACACGUGAAGAAUCUGCCUUCAACUCUGGGAUAACUCCGGGAAACCGGGGCUAAUACCGGAUAUGAGCCUUGAUCGCAUGAUCGGGGCUGGAAAGUUUUUCGGUUGAAGAUGACUUCGCGGCCUAUCAGCUUGUUGGUGAGGUAAUGGCUCACCAAGGCGACGACGGGUAGCCGGCCUGAGAGGGCGACCGGCCACACUGGGACUGAGACACGGCCCAGACUCCUACGGGAGGCAGCAGUGGGGAAUAUUGGGCAAUGGAGGAAACUCUGACCCAGCGACGCCGCGUGAGGGAUGAAGGCCUUCGGGUUGUAAACCUCUUUCAGUAGGGAAGAAGCGAAAGUGACGGUACCUACGGAAGAAGCACCGGCUAACUAUGUGCCAGCAGCCGCGGUAAUACAUAGGGUGCAAGCGUUGUCCGGAAUUAUUGGGCGUAAAGAGCUCGUAGGUGGUUCGAUACGUCGGAUGUGAAAAUCAGGGGCUCAACCCCUGACCUGCAUCCGAUACGGUCGAGCUAGAGUUUGGUAGGGGAGACUGGAAUUCCUGGUGUAGCGGUGGAAUGCGCAGAUAUCAGGAGGAACACCGAUGGCGAAGGCAGGUCUCUGGGCCAAUACUGACACUGAGGAGCGAAAGCGUGGGGAGCGAACAGGAUUAGAUACCCUGGUAGUCCACGCCGUAAACGGUGGGCGCUAGUUGUGCGAACCUUCCACGGUUUGUGCGACGCAGCUAACGCAUUAAGCGCCCCGCCUG